UGAUCAGCAUGCGCGUGAGUGAGAAGGCCUUCGGGUUGUAAACCUCUUUUGUCUGGGAAGAUAAUGACGGCUCCAGCAAGAAUAAGCCCCGGCUAAUUUCUCUGCCGCCAGCCGCCGCUAUACGACGGGGGAUACCGUUGUUCUCAAUAUACUGGUGCGUAGAGCGCACGCCGGCGGAGGCCUUUUCUCAUGUGUGAAAUCCCAGCGGCUCAUCCCCGUUAACUGCCCUUUGUACUCUGAAUCUCUAGUCCGCGAGAGGUGAAUAGAAUUCCCCCUGUGUAGGUGAAAUUCGCAUAUAUUUGGAAGAACACCACUGGGGAAAGCGGCCUCUUGUGCCCCUGCUGACACUCAGGUGCAAAAACGUGAGGAGCGCACAGGAUAAUAUACCCCGCUGUUCCCCUCCCCAUACUCUAUGGGCUCUCCGUGUUGCACCUAGCUACCCGUGGGCUGCCCUAACUCAUUCAUCAAUCGUCCCGCCGGGUACGGACGCUCGAUUAAGUCUCACUCAAUGUGACUGGGACGGGA
rnacentral:rRNA from 1 species